UUUUUUUUGCUCUAUAUUGUUUUUAUUAUUCUAAUAAUAGGUUUUAAUUUCUAAAUUGGUUCUUAACUGUAUGAUUUCUCUCUUUUGAUGUUGCAUUUUAGAUUCUCUUCACCUUCACGUUUCUUAGACUAAAAGACAUCAGCUUAUAUCUUUGGGAACUUGAUUCAAAUUGAUAGGAUUAAGAACACCACCAUCAAACCAUGCCCCUUGUGGCUUUAACGCUUCAGAGACCAAACACAUCUUAAUCCCUCAUCACUUCACCUUCAUGUGAAAAAAUCUUUUACAUACUUCUUUCCUAUGGUGCCUCUUUCCAUCCUCUUAUGAUUUUGUCUAAGCAGUACUAUCUUCCAAACCUUGUGGCUCUAUAU
rnacentral:sRNA from 1 species